UGCGUAGGUGGCAAGCGUUGUCCGGAUUUACUGGGCGUAAAGGAUGCGUAGGCGGAUUUUUAAGUGGGAUGUGAAAUUCCGAGGCUCAACCUCGGCGCUGCAUUCCAAACUGGAAGUCUAGAGUGCGGGAGAGGAAAGUGGAAUUCCUAGUGUAGCGGUGAAAUGCGUAGAGAUUAGGAAGAACACCAGUGGCGAAGGCGACUUUCUGGACCGUAACUGACGCUGAUGCAUGAAAGCGUGGGGAGCAAACAGG
rnacentral:rRNA from 1 species